rnacentral:sRNA from 1 species
AAGAAUAGACUGACAACAGAUACUGCUACCAGAGGGCUCUCAACUAUUUCUUAAGACCCCCUAGGAAAUAUCAGAAGAAAAGCCUCCUUCUCAAUAAAGCAUAAGUAGGACAUCUCGUUUUCAGUGAAUCAGACACUUGGAUUGGACUUAAUCUUAAACCUCUGGAGUUCAAGACCUUUUAAAAGGGCUAAAUAAACAAUCUCUACAUGUAAAAGGCCACUGACUCCUACUUCCUCUGUAUAGAGCAACUGUUGAACUCAGCUGCCUGUAGGGCGUGAUUCUCAGUCACCAGACUCAGCUUGGAGAUCUUACAAUGAUGGCAAUCAGGAGACACUGAACGGAGAUGCUACAUAUUCCUCUCUUGCAGCAAAAGGUUUUAGAAACGUUCGACCAAACCUACAAGAUAAAAGAUCACCAACUCAGGCACCCCCUCCACCAGAAAGAAAAGAGAGCUUUCAUAGCUCUUUGAUAACCAGUCACACAAAGGGUGUCAUUUUAGACCAGUUAGUAACUAACACACAAAUUCCCUCCAGUACAGAGUACUUUGCUAACAAAAAACCUC